GACGAACCGUCCGAACGUUAUUCGGAAUCACUGGGCUUAAAGGGUGCGUAGGCGGUUCGAUGAGUCGGCUGUGAAAUCUCCACGCUUAACGUGGAGGGGUCAGUCGAUACUGUCGUGACUCGAGUCCGGUAGGGGAGAAUGGAAUUCCCGGUGUAGCGGUGAAAUGCGCAGAGAUCGGGAGGAACACCCGUAGCGAAGGCGGUUCUCUGGGCCGGUACUGACGCUGAGGAGCGAAAGCGUGGGGAGCAAACAGG
rnacentral:rRNA from 1 species